rnacentral:rRNA from 1 species
UAGGGAAUAUUAGAAAUGGACGAAAGUCUGAUCUAGCAACGCCGCGUGUGCGAAGAAGGCCUUCGGGUUGUAAAGCACUUUUUGGAAGGAUUAGGAAGGAAUGUACUUCCAGAAUAAGUCUCGGCUAACUACGUGCCAGCAGCCGCGGUAACACGUAGGAGGCAAACGUUAUCCGGAUUUACUGGGCGUAAAGCGCGUGUAGGUGGUUCUGUAAGUAGGGCGUGAAAGCUCCUGGCUCAACUGGGAGAGGCCGUUCUAAACUGCAGAGCUAGAGGAUGGUAGAGGGAGGUGGAAUUCCGGGUGUAGCGGUGGAAUACGCAGAUAUCCGGAGGAACACCAGUGGCGAAAGCGGCCUCCUGGACCAUUCCUGACACUCAGACGCGAAAGCUAGGGUAGCAAACG